GACCAGUGAUGAUAAAUUUUAAGGCUUGUUUCUCAAAACAUUCGCAGUGGCUGCCUAAGAGCUUUCGCCUUUUGCCAGGCUUGAGAGUUAAUGCUGCAAUAUCCUUCCUUGGAUGUCUGAGGUC